GGCGGACGGGUGAGUAACACGUGGGUAACCUGCCUGUAAGACUGGGAUAACUCCGGGAAACCGGAGCUAAUACCGGAUAGUUCCUUGAACCGCAUGGUUCAAGGAUGAAAGACGGUUUCGGCUGUCACUUACAGAUGGACCCGCGGCGCAUUAGCUAGUUGGUGAGGUAACGGCUCACCAAGGCGACGAUGCGUAGCCGACCUGAGAGGGUGAUCGGCCACACUGGGACUGAGACACGGCCCAGACUCCUACGGGAGGCAGCAGUAGGGAAUCUUCCGCAAUGGACGAAAGUCUGACGGAGCAACGCCGCGUGAGUGAUGAAGGUUUUCGGAUCGUAAAGCUCUGUUGUUAGGGAAGAACAAGUGCAAGAGUAACUGCUUGCACCUUGACGGUACCUAACCAGAAAGCCACGGCUAACUACGUGCCAGCAGCCGCGGUAAUACGUAGGUGGCAAGCGUUGUCCGGAAUUAUUGGGCGUAAAGGGCUCGCAGGCGGUUUCUUAAGUCUGAUGUGAAAGCCCCCGGCUC
rnacentral:rRNA from 1 species